CAACUACUCCCUCUGUCCCAAAUUUCUUGUCUUAGAUUUGUCUAGAUACAGAUGUAUCUAAUACUAAAAUGUGACUUGAUACAUCCGUAUCUAGACAAAUCUAAGACAAGAAUUUUGAGACGGAGAGAGUACUUU
rnacentral:pre_miRNA from 1 species